UACGUAGGGACCAAGCGUUGUUCGGAUUUACUGGGCGUAAAGGGCGCGUAGGCGGCUUGACAAGUCACUUGUGAAAUCUCCGGGCUUAACUCGGAACGGCCAAGUGAAACUGUCAUGCUAGAGUGCAGAAGGGGCAAUCGGAAUUCUUGGUGUAGCGGUGAAAUGCGUAGAUAUCAAGAGGAACACCUGAGGUGAAGACGGGUUGCUGGGCUGACACUGACGCUGAGGCGCGAAAGCUAGGGGAGCGAACGGG
rnacentral:rRNA from 1 species